GCAGCGGCAGUGGCAACACACUCACAAUUCAACAAUAAACAGUUCCAUUGACGAGCGCUUUUAAAUGACAACAUGUCAAUGAACAAGGCACCUUUCUCUGAAAACCUCGACGAGCUAAUGAACAGUGCAACUGUGCCAUAUGUGUCCCUUCAGAGAAUGGAAUUCCUAGCCAAAUAUCUAAUCGGUGCCAAUUUGGGCUCCAGCAGCAGCCUCUGGGCUCCAGCAGCAGCCUCAGCCAUGGGGGACAGCUCUAGCAGCAACCUCAGCCGUGGGGGACAGGUUUAUGAAGCAAUCUGGGCUCUAGCAGCAGCCUAAGCCAUGGGGGACAGGUUUAUGAAGCACCCUGAACUUCUCAAUCUCACAGCAACAGUAGAUCAACAUGACCUCUAGCAGCAGCCUCAGCCAUGGGGGGGGGGGCAGGUUUAUGAAGCAGGGCUCCAGCAGCAGCCUCAGCUGUGGGGGACAGAUUUAUGAAGCACCCUGAACUUCUCAAUCUCACAGCAACAGUAGAUCAACAUGACCUCUAGCAGCAGCCUCAGCCAUGGGGGCAGGUUUAUGAAGCAGGGCUCCAGCAGCAGCCUCAGCUGUGGGGGACAGAUUUAUGAAGCACCCUGAACUUCUCAAUCUCACAGCAACAGUAAAUCAACCAAUCUGGGCUCCAGCAGCAGCCUCAGCCAUGGGGGACAGGUUUAUGAAGCACCCUGAACUUCUCAAUCUCACAGCAACAGUAGAUCAACAUGACCUCUAGCAGCAGCCUCAGCCGUGGGGGACAGGGGCUCUAGCAGCAGCCUCAGCUGUGGGGGACAGGGGCUCCAGCAGCAGCCUCAGCCGUGGGGGACAGCAAUCUGGGCUCUAGCAGCAGCCUCAGCCGUGGGGGACAGGUUUAUGAAGCACCCUGAACUUCUCAAUCUCACAGCAACAGUAGAUCAACAUGACCUCUAGCAGCAGCCUCAGCCAUGGGGGACAGGGGCUCUAGCAGCAGCCUCAGCCAUGGGGGACAGGUUUAUGAAGCACCAUGAACUUCUCAAUCUCACAGCAACAGUAGAUCAACAUAACCUGAAAGCGGUUCCUGUUCAGUGUCUAACAGUAUUCUAAUGACCAAGCCACGCCAGCAAAGCAGUAAUAAUAGCAGUCAAGUCGAGGAUCACCCAAAACCACUUGGUGCCUAGCGAUAAUUUUUUCUGCUACCAACUUGACCUGGUUAUUGUACUCACGUGGGAGUCAGGUUUAAGGUCACAUUAGGUUUAAAGGCUUAAAUCAGCAUAUAUGGUCAUGGUAGUAAGAAAAUUUAAGAUAAUAAAGGGACUUGUUGACCAACUCGAUGACCAAGUUAUUUAAUAUUGUUCCAAAUGUAUCUUUAAAGGAAAUGACUGCAAUACAGGGCAUCAUAAGAAAAUCUACAUACUUUCCCCUUUAAAUGUGUAAAAUUAACAAUAAACAAAAUGACUACAAAACAGGCAUUUACAAGAACAUCUUUGAACAUUUUCCUUUAAGUAUUGCUCAAUCUUUCUCAGUGAACAAAAUGUAUGCAGAAAGAAAAACUUUGUCUCUAUAAAGAUUGCUUACUAUGUUUUUACUGCAAACUGAUUUAUUACAGAACAGGAAUGUAUCUUUUAACAUUAUCGUUGAAAUUUCUCAACCAUUUGCAGUUAACAACAUGACUGCACAAUAUGGCAUCAAUGGCAAAGAAGAAGUGAUCAGAGGGGGUUAUAACGUGAAAGUCAAGAAGGCGACGUCCAUUAUGAGACUGAAAACCCUGAUUGCAAAAUGCAGAGUCUGCUCCGGAAGCAUUUGCAGACACAGAACAUGAACGGCUGCAGUCAUUGUCUUCAUAUUAUAUCAUCUCUAUGGUGCAGGACCCUCAGUCUGUGUACACAGGGAACCUUCGACGCCAAUGACGAAAUCAAACCAUCCAAUCAGAAACACAUCCCGUUGCAGCAGUUAUUACCAUAUUGACCCCAGUCAAAAAAAGAAGCUCAGAGAUAAAUACUGUUUAUGGUGUUCUAGUCUUUACAUACCUUGUGGUAUGUUGAGCACGUACUCUGACAGGUUUCAUCUUAUAAUUAUUUGACUGGUGGAAAAUAAAUGACCUUGUUCAAGUCGAAAUGUCAGAAUAACAAUUAAUAAUUCAAAUGCCAAAAAGUCAUAUCAACAGCCACAUUUGUUAUGUGACCAGCAAAGUUGAAUUCAAAGAGACACAAUAGUUUUCUUUAUAUUUUGUUGUGACCAACCAAGUUGUAUUUAAUGAAAAACAAUAGUUUAUGUUUUAUGGGAAUUAUGAUGCUGUCAGUCAUGUUAUGUUGGACGUUUUAGUUAAAUAUAGUAUGUUACAAAAUGUAUUAUUUGAAGCACACAUAUUGCAGGUAUAUCCAAUGUCUGUGUUUGUAUUAUGAACCUUUCACUUCAGAUUUUGAUCCUGAUAUGGUAAAUUUAAGGGAAAUACACUUAAACACCGUUAUUUCGAACACCGAUAAUCCAAAGUCACCGUUAUUUCAAGGUAUUGUUUGGGUCCUGAUUGUGGUUCUUCUUUGUUCAAUGUAAAAUUUCAUUGUUAAUCCGAACUUCGUUUAACCGAAGAAAUCGUUAAUUCGAAGUGUUUAUGUCGGUCCCAACACUAUAUUUCGCACCUUAUUAUCAAUCUUUAAUCCGAAGUCAAAACUGCAAAACACUGAGCGUAAUUUCACACCUAUUUGGUCUGCGUGUUGUGCGUCGAAGCUGAUAAUUACACCUUUGUCGCCUGCGCGUAGCAUGUUAAUUUUAUAAUGUCGUCAAAAGCCGACGACGAGGCCGACAACACAUUUAUGAACAUGAUAUUGAAUCAACGUGUGACCACAUGCAGCAACGAUGUAAGGCAGUUCUGCGAGCAAAACACGGACGGAAGCCAGUUCUUCAAUUUCCUUGACACAAUGGAGAAAUAUGUUACACGCGUCCAGUUUAGUGCUGCUUACACCAGUGUUCAGAAAGACAUCGCGUCUUAUUUUUUAAAAAGUUUAUUCAUUUCCGAAAAUGUAUUCAUAUGUAUUUACAUGUAUGAUGCGCUAUGCAUUAUAUUUUAUAUGUUCUGUAAUUAGAAAAAAAUAAAAAGAAGAAAAAGAAUCGUUUUAUUCCUCCUUUUGUUACAAGUAGAAAUCUAUUGCUAUCUGACUAUUUUACGUUUUUAAGUAAAACAAUUAUUAAAAGUACAGUAUGACCGAAACAUGCGAAUUCCACAAUGUUGUAUUUUUUUCAGAAUCAAAGAAGUCGUCUGUCAAAUGUUUAUUUCGAAUUUUCGUUAAUCCGAAGUUUUUUUAACUGUCCCGAUGACUUCGAAAUAACGAUGUUGAAGUGUACAAUCAUAACAAAGUUAUUUUAAGAUUGUCAAAGCUGUUUAAAUGUUUGUGGUAACUUGGACACGAUUGAAAAUAUAUUGGCGUAUUGUCCAUGUUUCAGUUUUCUGUUUUACCAGUAAUAUAGAUGUGCUCAUUAAAAUAAUUCUUCAAAGAGGUUGAGAGUUAUGAAACUUCAGCUUUUCAGUAUAUCAAUCUUUCUGAACACAAUACUUGUCAAUUUGCUCAUUCGGGUCGGUAUUUGAUCCAAAAUCUUGUUAAGUAGCAUACUAUUUCAAGGGAAUAUAAAUUAAUUCUGGGCAAAAAUGUUUAAUCUACUUAAAUUAAUUGAUUCUUUGUUUACCACCAGUACUUUGUUGAUUUCAAUUGCUAUGGUUUGCUAAAUAAUUAAAGCAUGACUGUUGUUUUAUUUGGAAAGCUUUUAAUAAAACUCAGAAUUAAAAACAAUAUUAAAAAAAAUAGAUGAGUUUUAUGAAAAAUGGCACAUUUUAUGUUUGUUAAUUUGUGUUUUAAGAUCAUAGACUUACAUGCUCAUAAGUGUUAACAUUCGAUUUUUGACGUUAACGUUUAUAAUGCUUUAUAUAUGCAUAUGUAGAUUUACACAACCAGAUUGUACCUUCUUAAAUCAGUGAGUACUUUAACCCAGAUUUCUUGAUAACUGUUGAUAGGUAUAUUUUGCCAUUUGCCAUUUAUACAUAGAGCAACUGCAAAGCGAUUGUAUUUUCGAUGUAAAUCAUUCAUUUAGUGUUGCUAUUGUUUAAGACAAACUCACUGUUUACAUUUAUUUGUACACACAAUUGUUAUAAAACAACAUUGCUUGUGUAAAUGCACAUAUAUGUAUAAAAACUGUUUAAUAAUGCAGCAUUAAAUAUUCUGAAGAGAAAAGGAUAUUUACGGCAAUAUAAACACCUUGUUAUAUGCUAUGCUUUUCAUCGAAUGAAUUUGAGCAACUAUUAAAAUGAAUUUAUUACAACGAGAGUACCUUGAGAUUAGAAAUGAGUCAAUUACAAAAUAAGGGAGAGUGAUGUCAUAUGUUUACAAUUGUCAGGCAUAGCAAUUGCCUCUAUGGGUAAUAUAACAGAGCAAUAUUAUUUGCUUAAACAAUACAAAUUAAGAUGUCUUUUUUUGUUAGAUAAUAAUUGUGUUUACAACUCGAUAUAACGAGUAAAUACAUACAGAAUUUCAAAUUAUUUCGCAAUAUAUACUCGGCAAUAAGUGAAAGUCUAAAAGGAUUUUGUGGAAUAAACAAUUUGCAAAUUAUUUGCUUGUUUCAUGAAGUAAUAGUUAAGGUAAAAUGUGGUACUUAUUGUUACACAAACACAAUGUGUAAUAACAAAAUGCAUCAGUAAUGACAUUUAUUAAAAUUCCUUAAAUUUACAUGACUACUCAGUGCUUUGAGUUUUGUAAUUGUGACGAUUAUAAGUGAAUAUUCUGCAAAAAAUACCUCUAUACGAAAUGUGUAUAUUUCAAUAAUAAUGGUAUACUUGUAUGCAAAGUACUUGAACAGUUUUGAUGUAUUGCUGAUAAAGAAUUGUGUAAUUGUGCUAGUCUUAUUCCAGUUUGUGUAACGUUGACCGUUCAACAUAAGCUGUCAGUGGAGUGAAUUCACUGGGGCCAGUUUCUGUAAAUCUUCCGAUUUAAAACUGCAGCAUACACGUAUGUCUUAAAUCCAGAUUUACAUAACAGUUUGGUUGUUUAUCUUGAAUUUGUAUUGAAUGCAUAAAACAUGUUUGUUCUGUUGUUGAACAACUGAAGAUAGCUUUAAAUGUGUACAUUGUGUUUCAUUUUUAGAUAUAUCAAAUUGAUACAUAGAAAACAAAAAACAAAAUGUGCAAUAAUUGGUAUGCAUGUUUAGCCCAAAAAAUGUUAUCAUACAAGCAUAUAAGUAUUGGACUAUAUGAUACUGUAAGAUGAAAUGUUUAAAUCACGUCUUGAUUUGUUCAUCUACUUUAAGUAAACAUUUUUCAUUAGUAGAUAUUGGUUGUAUAAACUCUAUUGAAACUGCCCCCAAUGAAUUUUAAUUGCUUUUGUAAAUAUAUUCAAUAUGUAACAUUAUUGAUAAUGGUAUGUUUAUAGUUAAAGUGUAAAUGUUUCUCUAAACUGUAACCGGGUGUCUGUUUAAUUUAUUGAGAUGUGUUUAUAUUGUCCGGCUUAUUAAAUUAAAUAUUGUGCAAAUUGUCGCAUUGUGGUUGUAGUGAUAAAAACAAAGCACUUUCCACUACUCAUGUGUGUUUUGGUUUACUAUUUUUAUAACCAGUGUU